GGGCUGAUUUCGUCGAAAGAUAAAGAGAAAGAGAAAGGGCCGAAAGAGGAAAAAGAGAAAGAAAAAGAAGAAAAAGAAGCAAGGGAAUGUCUCAGCUGUAAAAGUGAAGAGAUUGAAAGAGAUUGACUGAAGCUUAUAGAGUUAGUGAUUUUAUACAGUUAUUAUCAUUUUAUAUUAUUUUUACUCAAAUUCGAACUUUUAAUAUUAAACUUUGUUUUCAAUUCAUUAUUUAUUUGUCUUUGUCCUUGUCUUUAUCAUUUUCCGGAUUAAGUUUUUCAAUUGUUUUCUUUCCAUCUUCUUUUACCGUCUUAAUUUCUU
rnacentral:rRNA from 1 species